rnacentral:rRNA from 1 species
CGUCGAGCGGCGGACGGGUGAGUAACGCGUAGGAAUCUACCCAGUAGUGGGGGAUAGCCCGGGGAAACUCGGAUUAAUACCGCAUACGCCCUACGGGGGAAAGGCCGGGAUCUUCGGACCGGUCACUAUUGGAUGAGCCUGCGUUGGAUUAGCUUGUUGGUGGGGUAAAGGCCUACCAAGGCGACGAUCCAUAGCUGGUCUGAGAGGAUGAUCAGCCACACUGGGACUGAGACACGGCCCAG